rnacentral:rRNA from 1 species
AGAGCGCAGGGAGGAUGCCUUGGCAUCAGGAGCCGAAGAAGGACGUGGUAAGCUGCGAAAAGCUACGGGGAUUGGCAAGCACGAUAUGAUCCGUAGAUGUCCGAAUGGAGCAAUCCGCAUGGAGUCAAGUCCAUGUAUCAUAUACUGAAUAAAUAGGUAUAUGAGGGGAACCGCCCGAACUGAAACAUCUAAGUAGGGCGAGGAAAAGAAAUCAACCGAGAUUCUGUGAGUAGUGGCGAGCGAAAGCGGAAGAGGCUAAACCGAGAGGAGCAAUCCUUUCGGGGUUUAGGACUGCAUUUAGUACAAUGAUUGUUAACCGAACAGCAUGGGAAGGCUGAUCAAAGAAGGUGAGAAUCCUGUAGGUGAAAACGAAAGUUGACGAGCAGUAUCCAAAGUACCGCGGGGCACGUGAAAUCCCGUGGGAAGAUGGGGGGACCAUCCUCCAAGCCUAAAUACUACCUGAUGACCGAUAGCGAAUAGUACUGUGAAGGAAAGGUGAAAAGCACCCCGGGAGGGGAGUGAAAGAGAACCUGAAACCCUGUGCUUACAAGCACUUAGAGCACGUCAAAGUGUGAUAAGGUACCUAUUGUAGAAUGGUCCGGCGAGUUAUUGUAUGCAGCGAGGUUAAGUAGUUCAGCUACGGAGCCGAAGUGAGAGCGAGUGUUAACAGCACGUUCAGUUGCAUGCAAUAGACCCGAAACCGGGUGACCUAUCCAUGUCCAGGAUGAAGUGAGGGUAAAACCUCAUGGAGGUCCGAACCCACUCCCGUUGAAAUGGUAGGGGAUGAGGUGUGGAUAGCGGAGAAAUUCCAAUCGAACCCGGAUAUAGCUGGUUCUCCCCGAAAUAGUUUUAGGACUAGCCUCGUGAUCAAGAUUAUCGGAGGUAAAGCACUGAAUGGCCUAGGGGUCGAGAGAUUACCGAAGCCUAUCAAACUCUGAAUGCCGAAUAAUCAUGCACGGGAGUCAGACUGUGUGAGAUAAGUUUCAUAGUCGAAAGGGAAACAGCCCAGACCUACAGCUAAGGUCCCAAAGUACGUUUAAGUGGAAAACGAUGUGAAAUUGCGUAGACAACCAGGAUGUUGGCUUAGAAGCAGCCAUACAUUAAAAGAGUGCGUAAUAGCUCACUGGUCGAGUGACUUUGCGCGGAAAAUUUAACGGGGCUAAAACGUACACCGAAGCUUAGGCUUGCAACUAUGUUGCAGGGGUAGGGGAGCGUUGAAUGAGGGGUGAAGUCGUAGCGAAAGCGACGGUGGACUUCAUUCAAGUGAGAAUGCCGGAAUGAGUAGCGAGAAUUAUGUGAGAAUCAUAAUGGCCGAAAGCCUAAGGUUUUUGGAGGAAGGUUCGUCCGCUCCAAGUAAGUCGGAAGCUAAGGUGAGGCUGAAAAGCGUAGCCGAUGCACAAACGGUUGAAAUUCCGUUACCACAGAAAGAUUUAAACUAAGGGACACUUUUGAAGAGCUGAUGCCGGGUGUUGGUUACCCCGGUCGUAAGGGAACGAAAUUAAGUAGUGAAGUCAGCGUGGAUGAAGGCGAGAAAAGCUUAGUGUAUAUCUUAUGUGUCCGUACCGCAAACCGACACAGGUAGGUAGGAAGAGAAUUCUAAGGCCAACGGGAGAAGGGUAGUUAAGGAACUCGGCAAAAUGUCCCCGUAACUUCGGAAUAAGGGGAGGUUUCUACGGAAACCCGCAGAGAAUAGUCCCAGGCAACUGUUUAUCAAAAACACAGCUCUAUGCUAAAUCGAAAGAUGACGUAUAUGGGGUGACGCCUGCCCGGUGCCGGAAGGUUAAGAGGAGGAGUGAGAGCCCUGAAUCGAAGCCCCGGUAAACGGCGGCCGUAACUAUAACGGUCCUAAGGUAGCGAAAUUCCUUGUCAGGUAAGUUCUGACCCGCACGAAUGGCGUAAUGAUCUGGGAGCUGUCUCAACUGCCCGCCCGGCGAAAUUGUAGUACCGGUGAAGAUGCCGGUUACCCGCGACUAGACGGAAAGACCCCAUGGAGCUUUACUGUAGCUUAAUAUUGGAUUUCGGCAUUUCAUGUACAGGAUAGGUGGGAGACUAGGAAACAUAGGCGUCAGCUUAUGCGGAGUCGUCCUUGGGAUACCACUCUUGGAGUGCUGAAAUUCUAACCUGCAGCCCUGAAUCGGGUUGGGGGACAUUGUUAGGUGGGCAGUUUGACUGGGGCGGUCG